GAAGCUGAAAAUGACACUGUGAACUGGUGGCAAAGAAGAAUCAGCUGGCAGCUGCAGUGUUUAGACUCAACAUAGUAAUAUAAGCAAAAAUUCAGAGGACAUAUGCAUAGAGUAUUAACAGAU